CCACCUUGCAGUGCACAGGACAGCCCCCACGACAAAGAAUUCUCCCACUCCAUUGUCAACGCUUUAUUUGGGACAGGCACUUACAAUCCUCCAAGAACGAAUAGCUGUGUAGACUUCCACAAGGCCCAAGGCAAACAUAAUUUAUGGAAAGACAAGCUUCUCAAAUCCUGUAUUCUUAGAUUUCUAAUUCCGUUAAGCGUGGCAUUAAUAUGCAGUCGAAGGCCUUUCCUGGUUGCAUUAUCUCUGAGCAGCCACAAGAGGGAGUGUGAAGAACGCAAUCCUCUGGAACUGCACUUUCAGAAACCAUUUCCUUUAGUCCACAGGAGAAGCACCCGCAGCUUCACGUAUUCUGAGCAGGAGGAAGAGACCCUUAGGACAGUCACCUGCAAGUCCUCUUAACGUUCUGUUUACUCGGAAGACGGAGAAAGGGAAGGUUCGGAAGGUUCCUCGAGAUUUCCUGUCCUGGGUUUGUAAACGAUGCCUGAGGGAGGUUUGGCAAAAAUCAGCCCACACGGACACUGGGCUCUAUUUGAUUUAGCUGAAUUUUUACCAUGCCAGAAACGGCCAAGGCUCCUGGGGUGACUCGGGGUUUCAGUGGAAUUAAUCACUCUAAGUUUGAUUUUUCCACAGUGAUUCAUUUCCUUCAAAAAGGAUCUUGAUGAUUUCGUUUGCCUUUGGCAUUUUCAAAGGAAGAGAAAUCAGCAUUCUGUGUUUUCUUUCAAAAUAGAACAGGGAAUGGAAAUCAGAGCCCUGGAUCUCCUCCCUCGCACCCUCACUCUGUUUAUGCGCUAUUGCCGCAGGUGGGCGUCCUGCAGAAAGCUCAAGUGCUUCCAAGAAUACCCAGAUAAUUGCUGUCAGGUAGGGCACUCAGGAAAGAGACGCCGAUGGAAUAUUGGGGUGUCGAAGGACAAUAGUUCUCAGAUUUCGGCAUAGAUCAAAAUCACUCGGAAUACUUCCUUGUUCAAACACAGAGCUCGGUUUCGAUUUAGCAUGUCUGAGAUUGUGGCUGAGAAUGAGCAUUUUUAACAAGUUCUCAGGUGAGGCUGAGGUUGCAGGUUGGAGGACACACCUUGAGAAUCACCGCUCUGGAGAGUAUUCUACGGUUUCUAAGAUUUCUCCAUUAACCCUGAGAACGGGGCCUGAGAAUCUGCGCCACCCACGUCACAGUAACAAUGUGCCCCCACGUGGGACUGGUGCCUGAGAUUCUGAUCCCGGCUUCUAGGGCAAUGACGACUAUUCCCUACUCGCACCUUCUUGCAGACUCUAAGGCGCCAUGAAAACUAGACGUCUGAAAUGAACAAAAUCCUCAGACGGCUUCCCCAAAAUACUCCCAACCACUGCGUUUCCCUGCCACAACGUCACACAACCCUGCUCAUAGCUGUGGCCUCUGUUUUAAAAUCUGAAUGCAUGGGAGGAUGCAUAGGCAAAUGCAUUCUCUACCAAGUGGAUGCAAUUUGCCAGAGUUUUAUGGAUUGACUCAAUUUCUGGGUGACCUUGACAAGUUACUUAAUCUCUGCAUAUGUUCUAUAAAAUGGGAACAAUAGCUGCACUUAAGGGUGGGCGCAUGGGUUGAAUGAACUAAAACUUGAACAGUGAUUAUAACAAUGGUUCUCACACUGUUCUCAGUAAAUAUUAGCUAUUACUGUUACCCUUCACCUUCACUUCUAGUAUCGAUUUUCUUAUCUGGAAACUUGAACUAAAAAGCCCCUCAAUUUCUGGGAGUGUAUUCUUGUGCUGUGUUAUUGGAAUAUUGGAAGUAUGAUGGAAUUACCUUUAAACCUUUCACCUGGCUGAAUGAUGUGGCUUGACUGCCAUGCAGAGGUCAGUGAUCAGAUGUAAAGGUCAAUUAUAAUUUCUAAGAGUUAAAGGUAUCUAAACCACUUAGCUUGUUCCAGGUUUAUUAAUUUUGAACAAUCUGUGGUGCUGACUACAUGACCUUCGUAGCACGUUAGAGCUUCCUUAACCGUUAUUCUUUCUGUGUUACAAAAUAACAGAAGGAAAAAUAGGAAAUGUGGUCCUGGAACACUGCUGUGUUAUUUGGGGCAAAGCAUUUCAUGUGCUGCUUGCGUCUGUUCCCUGAGUGAUAAAAUGGGUUAACAAUUAAAAGCUGCUUCAGGAUUCCAAGCAGGUUUUCCAUGUAUAUGACUAAGUAUUAUUCAAUUACUAAUGCUCCUCAACUUACAGUGAUGCUACAUUCCGAUAAAUCCAUCAUAAAUUGAAAACAUGAUAAGGAAAAAAUACCUUUUUUUUUUUUGUUUUUACCUAAACCAGUGGUAAAGGAGGAAACUGGUAGGUCAAACCAUCCUGUAAACUUUAAACAAAUAUCUUUGAUGUGAAUUUUCGUUUUUACCUUUUAAUUUUUAACCCUUUAUAUACUGUAUAGGUGAUACUGUGAGGAUGUAAAAUCCAAUAGGUUGAAAGGGUAAACAAGGAAAAACAAGCCUCACUCCAUACUCAUCACCUGCCUACACAGUGUCUAUCCACCAAGACUUUGUUUUUUCAAUUAGACAUUAUCUGAGUCUUUGAGUAGUUUUAGGUUUACAGAACAAUUGGGAGGAAAGUACACAGAGUUCCCCUAUACUGCUGCCCCACAUAUGCACAGCUGUCCCCACUAGUUUCAACAUCCCACAGCAGAGUGGGGCAUUUGUUACAAUGAAUGAACCAGUGUUGACACAUCAUUAUUGGCUGAAGUCCACAGAUUACAUUAGAGUUCAUUCUUGGUGUUGCACGUUCUGUGGGUUUUGACAAAUUUAUCAUGACAUGUAUCCACUAUUAGAGUAUCACACAGAAUAGUUUCACUGCCUUAAAAUGCCCUUCACCUACACAUCCCUCCUUCCCAUUAAAGCCCUGGAAACUUCUGAUCUUUGUACUGUCUUCUUAGUUUUUCCUUUUCUAGAAUGUCAUAUAGUUGAAAUACUAUAGUAUCUAUCCAUUUCAGAUUGGCUUCUUCCACUUAGCAAUAUGCAUUUAAGGUCUCUUCAUGUCUUGACUUACUCAUCUUCACCCUU
rnacentral:lncRNA from 1 species